rnacentral:misc_RNA from 1 species
GGAAGUAAAAAUCGUAACAAGGUUUCCGUAGGUGAACCUGCGGAAGGAUCAUUAUUGUAUAACCGAGGUGCGAGGGCUGUCGCUGACCCGAAAGGUCGUGCACGCCCGAGUGCCCUCACACACAGCCAUCUCACCCCUAUGUGCACCACCGCGUGGGUCCCCCUUUGGCUUGUUCGGAGGGGGGCUUACGUUUUCACACUAACUUUGUAUGCAGUGUAGAAUGUAUUUUUUGUUUUUGCGAUCACGCAAACAAUACAACUUUCAACAACGGAUCUCUUGGCUCUC